rnacentral:rRNA from 1 species
GAUGAACGCUGGCGGCGUGCCUAAUACAUGCAAGUCGAGCGGAAACACGAUAAGAUUGCUCUCUUGACGUUAGCGGGGGGCGGGUGAGUAACACGUGGAUAACCUUCUUCUUUUUCUGGGGUAAUUUCGUGAAACCGGUGAUAAUAAUACCUCAUAUAUUCUACCGCUUGGUUCAGUAGUUCAUCACGGCUUUGCUGUCUCUUAUAGAUGCUGUCGUGCUGCAUUAGCUAGUUGGUAAGGUAACGGCUCACCAAGGCAACGAUGCGUAGCUGACCUGAGAGGGUGAUCGGCCACACUGGAACUGAGACACGGUCCAGACUCCUACGGGAGGCAGCAGUGGGGAAUCUUCGGCAAUGGGCGAAAGCGUGACGGAGCAACGCCGCGUGAGUGAUGAAGGCCUUCGGAUCGUAAAACUCUGUUAUUAGGGAAGAACAGCUGUGUAAGUAACUACGCACGUCUUGACGGUACCUAAACAGAAAGCCACGGCUAACUACGUG